rnacentral:lncRNA from 1 species
UUCCAGUGAAUAUGUUUUACAACAUAUUAUUACCAGUUGAACUAGUUUCAUUCUUUUAUUUGUUAGUUCAACUCUAUGAUGGACCAAAUGGGCACACAAAAAUCUGGUCAUCUAAAUUAUUAAAGUUGGAGCGGGUAAUUUAACCACAGCUCCAAAAAUGAAGCAAGGCCGAAUAACAACAUAUGCCCAGAAACAAGAUUUCAACUUUUAUGAAAUUGCAGUUCCUUUGUGUAGGUGACUACAACUCCAAUAUGUUUUCAUUUUUUCUGGCAUUUGGAAAAUUCUGUUUCUCCUUAUUUCAGGAAGUCAUUUAAGUAGCUCAGUCAGACAUUUAAAUAACAGUUUUUCACUAAAUUUAUAAAGUAUAUACAUUUGUUUCUUUGUGCAUGAUAUAGCUAAAUGACCACAUUGAGAAUGACCACAGAAGUAGAGUAUUAAAAACAAACAAAUCCCGCAGUAACAAAUUAUUUGCUUAGAUACUGAUGGGACUAGCACCAUACCAAUCAUCGUCUAUUCUCCUAUAGAAAAGCCUUCAAUGGCCUACCAAUAACAGCUACGUUAUCUCCCUUCUUUAUAAAACUUUUUAACACUAACUUUAUUAUUGCAUAAAGAAAAAUCACAAACCCAACACAAUCAAAAUACCAAUAACUUAAAUCUUAAAUCUUAAAAUAAGCAACUUACAAAUUAAAAUCGACCAGUUCUCCUUUUUUGCUAACCAUUCAAAUAAAACCAGAAAACAAAUAUCUCAUAACAAUCAGGUC